rnacentral:rRNA from 1 species
ACAUCCAGAGAAUUUAGCAGAGAUGCUUUAGUGCCUUCGGGAACUCUGAGACAGGUGCUGCAUGGCUGUCGUCAGCUCGUGUUGUGAAAUAUUGGGUUAAGUCCCGCAACGAGCGCAACCCUUAUCCUUUGUUGCCAGCACGUAAUGGUGGGAACUCAAAGGAGGCUGCCGGUGAUAAACCGGAGGAAGGUGGGGAUGACGUCAAGUCAUCAUGGCCCUUACGAGUAGGGCUACACACGUGCUACAAUGGCGCAUACAAAGAGAAGCGACCUCGCGAGAGCAAGCGGACCUCAUAAAGUGCGUCGUAGUCCGGAUUGGAGUCUGCAACUCGACUCCAUGAAGUCGGAAUCGCUAGUAAUCGUAAAUCAGAAUGUUACGGUGAAUACGUUCCCGGGCCUUGUACACACCGCCCGUCACACCAUGGGAGUGGGUUGCAAAAGAAGUAGAUAGCUUAACCUUCGGGAGGGCGUUUACCACUUUGUGAUUCAUGACUGGGGUGAAGUCGUAACAAGGUAAGCGUAGUGCU